rnacentral:rRNA from 1 species
CGAUUGAGGACUUUGAUCAUGGCUCAGGAUGAACGCUGGCGGCGUGCUUAAUACAUGCAAGUCGAACGGAGACUUUGUAGCAAUACGGAGUCUUAGUGGCGAACGGGUGCGUAACGCGUUGGUGACCUGCCCCGAAGUUGUGGGAUAACAGUUCGAAAGGACUGCUAAUACCGCAUGUGGUCAUGGAGGUUAGAGGCUAAUGACUAAAGCAGUAAUGCGCUUCGGGAGGGACCUGCGUCCCAUCAGCUAGUUGGUAGGGUAACGGCCUACCAAGGCUUCGACGGGUAGGGGACCUGAGAGGGUGGUCCCCCACAUUGGCACUGAAACACGGGCCAAACACCUACGGGUGGCAGCAGUAGGGAAUAUUGGGCAAUGGGCGAAAGCCUGACCCAGCAUGCCGCGUGUGCGAUGAAGGCCUUCGGGUCGUAAAGCACUUUUCUGGGAGAUGAGAAAGGACAGUAUCUCAGGAAUAAGUCUCGGCUAACUACGUGCCAGCAGCCGCGGUAAAACGUAGCGGCAAGCGUUAUCCGGAUUUACUGGGCGUAAAGCGCGUGCAGGCGGUUUGGUAAGUUGGAUUUGAAAGCUCCUGGCUCAACUAGGAGAGGUCGUUCAAUACUACCAGACUAGAGAAAGGUAGAGGGAGGUGGAAUUCCCGGUGUAGUGGUGAAAUGCGUAGAUAUCGGGAGGAACACCAGUGGCGAAAGCGGCCUCCUGGACCGUUUCUGACGCUCAGACGCGAAAGCUAGGGUAGCAAACGGGAUUAGAGACCCCGGUAGUCCUAGCUGUAAACGAUGUGCACUUGGCGUCGGCGGGUUCAAAGCCGUCGGUGCCGAAGCCAACGCGAUAAGUUCACCGCCUCCGGACUACGGCCGCAAGGUUAAAACUCAAAGGAAUUGACGGGUUCCCGCACAAGCAGCGGAGCGUGUGGUUCAAUUCGAUGUUACACGAAGAACAUUUCCCGGGUUUGACAUUCAGGUGGUAGUGAAGCGAAAGCAGAACGACCCUUCGGGGAGCCUGAACAGGUGUUGCAUGGCUGGCGUCAGCUCGUGUCGUGAGAUGUUCUGUUAAGUCCGCUAACGAGCGCAACCCUCGUCGUAUGUUACAUGUUCAUAGGAGACCGCCGGUAUCAAUCCGGAGGAAGGUGGGGACGAAGUCAAGUCAGCAUGGCCUUUAUAUCCGGGGCUACACACACGCUACAAUGGCCGGUACAAUGGUCGCUAAGCCGCGAGGUAGAGCCAAUCCCCAAAGCCGGCCUCAGUUCAGCUCGCAGGCUGAAACACGCCUGCGUGAAGUUGGAGUUGCUAUUAAACGCGCGUCAGCUAUAGUGCGUUGAAUACGUUCCCGGGAAUUGUACACACCGCCCGUCACGUCAUGGGAGCUGGCAACCCCUGAAGCCGGCCAUGCCUAACCGCAAGGAGGGCGCUGUCGAAGGUGUAUCGGUGACUGGGACUUAGUCGUAACAAGGUAACGCAGUUUAA